rnacentral:lncRNA from 1 species
AUGGAGACUUGGUCCAGGACGACCACUGAAGGAUACCCAGACAGCCUCCUGAGCACUGGGAUCCAGCAGCUCUCAGAGGAGAGUGGGACGGUGGUCGCAUCCAGGCCUGCUCCCUGUCUCCAAAUCUCCCUGCACAAAGGCCAUAGGAUGGGUGCUGAGCACAGCCUAAGCUCCCCUGGGCCAGGAGGAGGCUUUCAGGCAGGGGAAGCCAAGAGGCCUACAUCUCCCCAAGAGAUCCCUCCUCUCCUUCUACUCUGUUCCCCCGACAACCACACCCGGGCACCCUUUCCAGGCCCAGUCCACACUGCUGGGCUACUCUGUUCCCCCGACAACCACACCCGGGCACCCUUUCCAGGCCCAGUCCACACUGCUGGGCUACUCUGUUCCCCCGACAACCACACCCGGGCACUCUUUCCGGGCCCAGUCCACACUGCUGGGCUACAGGUGCCUGCCUGUGGCUCACCCCUAGAGAGCCAAACUAGGAGGCCUGGUGGUCAGGACCACAGCGGGAUACUCAGGGUGUGGCUCCCGCUGCAGGACGGCUCCACAGGCCUCCCAGGGCUUGUGGAGGACGGAGCAGGUGCAGCAAGAAAGACGAAAGCCUCCCUGCCUCCUCCACACAACCCACAGGUCCCCAGGGCCUGUGCCCAUCCUCCGCUUGGACAGGCCUCAACACCGCCACCCACCUGGCGGAGGCAGCAGAGCCAGACGGGCAAGGGGGGGUCCUACACAACACAGAUCGCCUCGUGUACCCCCACCCCGAUCCCCAGGAAGCUGCAGCCCCACAUCCAGCGUGCCUGGUCCUCCUGGGAACAGAUGAGCAACCCUGGCAGCCCAAUGGCACACACUCCACAGGUCCCCCACAGGCAGGGAGACCACCCGCCCUCCAGGGUUACAGAGGCAGAGCCAAGGAAGUCGGCAGUGGGCAGGUUGCUGCUAAGUGGGAGAUGGUGGGGCGGUGAGGGGCCAAUUCUGACUCACAAAACCUCAGCUUCCUGCUCCCCUCCCCCUCCCACCACUGACACCCUGCAGAGGACAGGCGGCAGACUGAUGGGGGCCCAGGUGUCUGCGGGUGCCACACCUACCUCCACACCCCCAAGCACAGCUCACUCAGGCACAGGCCCUGAGCUGCGGCUCCUCCCCCACUCCACCCACUCCCCCAAAGGCCUCCUUGUGCUCGGCCCCAAACCACCAUCUGGGCCCAGCCCUGGCUGGCACCCAGGACUCACCCAGUUCUUGCCACGAGGCAGCAGGCGGAGGAAGGAAGAGGGGUUUAUGAACAGGGACAGCAGUCCCUGCACUGCAGCCUCCCCCAGGCCAGGCAGGAAAGGCAGUCUUCCCCAGGAGGAUGGGCAAAGUGGCAGGUCACUGUCUACCUUGACCCUCUCCACCCCAUUUGUCUUGUGA